CUCGCGAUUCCCACAAAUUGAGAGAACAAUGGAAUUGCGGCAUGAAUUCAGCAGAAGCUCUGUGCUCCCUGCAGCGUAUCUUCUCACAAACACACUCGUCUCAUCCAGCCAUGACGGACGGAACCCGUUCUGCCGCAUGUUAGAACUGAGGUUACCGCUGGGCUCGCAGCUGCAUCCUGGCGCAAGACCGAAUCCCGUCUUCCCCCAACACGGAGCAGGAGGACAGGGCGGCGUGAUGAGCGGCUGCACGACAAACAUUUGAACCAGUCGGCAGAUUAUAUGUGUGUUGCAUGGUGUUGCAGGGUGUGUUACGGUAUGUGUUGCAUGGUGUUGCUUGGUGCGUUAUGGGGUGUGUUACGGUGUGUGUUACAUGGUGUUGUAUGGUGUGUUACGGGGUGUGGUAUGGGGUGUAUUACAUGGUGUUGCAGGGCAUGUUACAGGUGUGUUACGGUGUGUGUUGCAGGGUGUUGCUGGGUGCGUUAUGGGGUGUGUUACGGUGUGUGUUACAUGGUGUUGUAUGGUGUGUUACGGGAUGUGGUAUGGGGUGUAUUACAUGGUGUUGCAGGGCAUGUUACAGGUGUGUUACGGUGUGUGUUGCAGGGUGUUGCUGGGUGCGUUAUGGGGUGUGUUACGUGUGUGUUACAUGGUGUUGUAUGGUGUGUUACGGGAUGUGGUAUGGGGUGUAUUACAUGGUGUUGCAGGGCAUGUUACAGGUGUGUUACGGUGUGUGUUGCAGGGUGUUGCUGGGUGCGUUAUGGGGUGUGUUACGGUGUGUGUUACAUGGUGUUGUAUGGUGUGUUACUGGAUGUGGUAUGUGGUAUAUUACAUGCUGUUGCAGGGCAUUUUACGGGUGUGUUACAGUGUGUGUUGCAGGGUGUGUUACGGUGUGUGUUGCAUGGUGUUACUGGGUGCGUUAUGGGGUGUGUUACAUGGUGUUGUAUGGUGUGUUACUGGAUGUGGUAUGUGGUAUAUUACAUGCUGUUGCAGGGCAUUUUACGGGUGUGUUACAGUGUGUGUUGCAGGGUGUGUUACGGUGUGUGUUGCAUGGUGUUACUGGGUGCGUUAUGGGGUGUGUUACGGUAUGUGUUACAUGGUGUUUCAGGGUGUGUUAGAGGGUGUGUUAUGGGGUGUGUUACAUGGUGUGUUAUAGGGUGUGUUACAUGGUGUUGCAGGGUGCGUUAUGGG
ensembl:lncRNA